ensembl:lncRNA
AAAGAAGAUGCUGUGGCAGAGAGGGGAAGUUGCUUUCUUACCAGUAUGUGGCCAAGCCAGGCUCUGACCUCACCCAAGUUCUUGGUCCUUGUGCUGUGAUGGCGACCGUGGACGGCAGUGCAGCGUGGAGGAUUUACUGAGACCCGAAGUGGCUGCAAGGAAUCAAUUGAUCUGUAUUCUCAAGUCGGUUCUGACAGCAGAUCUCUAUGUUCCUGAUCACCCUACCAGAAGAAAAGAAACUCCAGAACGGAUAACAGUAGAAAAGUAAGCUUUGAAAAACUUCAGGGCAGAAUCAAAUAAAUUCUAGGUCUGCAGAAUCUCACCCACACUCAUUGACGCCACCUACCAGCCUGUUUCCCCAUUCCACAGCCGAAGCUCAUUAUGAUCGCAAGUAGGCGGAGUAUAUGGGGCUUUAAAAGGCUGAAAAUAGUGGAAGAAUGUGUAUGUCUCUUCCAAAGAGACAAUGAGGACAAGAGAUGCCUGUGCCCCAGGACAGCUUUGCUAGUCAGGUCUGCCAAAAAGUGAGAGAGAAAAAAAGGAGGAAAAAGAGGAGAGGAUGCUUUCAGAGCUUCUGAAAAGGAGGACAUGAACUUUUGGUUAGUCCCUCUCAGAUGAACAGUUUAGAAGAGGUAAGAAAUGUACACAAACGACAAUCAAAGUACAAGAUGGUAACAAGCGCCAUAAGAGAAGUACAAGUAUCUUGAAACAGGUAUAAAGUUUGAUGAGCAGAUGAACAAAAAGGUAUUUGAAACUCUAAGACCUGAUGCCCAACAACUGGAUCAACAGGAUGAAGUCGGAACCUGAGCUCUUCAGGUUGCCAGAAUCCCCCCAUUUCCCAUUUUUCUUAUACCCGAUACUUUUCCUUUUGGUUAAUGAAAGUGUUUGUCAUUCAGUUGUGUCUUACUCUUUGCAACCCCAUGUAC